rnacentral:rRNA from 1 species
GAUGAACGCUGGCGGCGUGCCUAAUACAUGCAAGUCGAGCGAACAGACGAGGAGCUUGCUCCUUUGACGUUAGCGGCGGACGGGUGAGUAACACGUAGGUAACCUACCUAUAAGACUGGGAUAACUUCGGGAAACCGGAGCUAAUACCGGAUAAUAUUUCGAACCGCAUGGUUCGAUAGUGAAAGAUGGCUUUGGCGAUACUUAUAGAUGGACCUGCGCCGUAUUAGCUAGUUGGUAAGGUAACGGCUUACCAAGGCAACGAUACGUAGCUGACCUGAGAGGGUGAUCGGCCACACUGGAACUGAGACACGGUCCAGACUCCUACGGGAGGCAGCAGUAGGGAAUCUUCCGCAAUGGGCGAAAGCCUGACGGAGCAACGCCGCGUGAGUGAUGAAGGUCUUCGGGUCGUAAAACUCUGUUAUUAGGGAAGAACAAAAGUGUAAGUAACUGUGCACGUCUUGACGGUACCUAAUCAGAAAGCCACGGCUAACUACGUG